AAAUAAAAUGGCUGAAUUUUAGGCAAGGAAUUGUAAAUUUCUUUAUAGGUUAGUAACCUUUUUAUU
rnacentral:tRNA from 1 species